rnacentral:rRNA from 1 species
AACGUAGGACGCAAGCGUUAUCCGGAGUUACUGGGCGUAAAGCGCGGGCAGGCGGCCAACCAAGUCUGAUGUGAAAUCUCUUCGCUCAACGGAGAGAGGCCAUUGGAAACUGGUCGGCUGGAGGGCAGUAGAGGUAGGCGGAAUUCCGGGUGGAGUGGUGAAAUGCGUAGAGAUCCGGAGGAACACCAGAGGCGAAGGCGGCCUACUGGGCUGCACCUGACGCUGAGCCGCGAAAGCCAGGGGAGCGAACGGG